rnacentral:rRNA from 1 species
UACGUAGGUGGCAAGCGUUGUCCGGAUUUACUGGGCGUAAAGAGCGCGCAGGCGGUCGUUCAAGUCGCGUGUGAAAGCCCCCGGCUCAACUGGGGAGGGUCACGCGAUACUGAUCGACUCGAAGGCAGGAGAGGGUAGUGGAAUUCCCGGUGUAGUGGUGAAAUGCGUAGAUAUCCGGAAGAACACCAAAGGCGAAGGCAGCAUCCUGGGAAGCACCUGACGCUCAGAUGCGAAAGCCAGGGGAGCGAACGGGAGU